rnacentral:rRNA from 1 species
UACAGAGGGUGCAAGCGUUAAUCGGAAUUACUGGGCGUAAAGCGUGCGUAGACGGUUAUGUAAGUCGCGUGUGAAAGCCCCGGGCUCAACCUGGGAAUUGCAUUCGAGACUGUGUAGCUAGGGUACGGAAGAGGGAAGCGGAAUUUCAGGUGUAGCGGUGAAAUGCGUAGAUAUCUGGAGGAACACCAGUGGCGAAAGCGGCGUCCUGGUCCAGUACCGACGUUGAGGCACGAAAGCGUGGGGAGCAAACAGG